UAGGGAAUAUUGCACAAUGGAGGAAACUCUGAUGCAGCAACGCCGCGUGAGUGAAGAAGGCCCUUGGGUCGUAAAGCUCUUUAGCCUGGAAAGAAGUGCCCUUAAGUGAACAAUUUGAGGGUGUGACGGUACCAGGAGAAUAAGGUCCGGCUAAUUUCGUGCCAGCAGCCGCGGUAAUACGAAAGGACCAAGCGUUACUCGGAAUCACUGGGCGUAAAGCGCGCGUAGGCGGUCUCGUAUGUCGAUUGUGAAAUCCCCGGGCUCAACCUGGGAACCGCAGUCGAAACUGCAAGACUUGAAUGUUGGAGAGGUUGGGGGAAUACCUAGUGGAGAAGUGAAAUUCGUAGAGAUUAGGUGGAACACCAGAGGCGAAGGCGCCUGACUGGCCAAACAUUGACGC
rnacentral:rRNA from 1 species